rnacentral:rRNA from 1 species
CUACGGGCGGCUGCAGUCGAGAAUCUUCGGCAAUGGACGAAAGUCUGACCGAGCGACGCCGCGUGCGGGAUGAAGGCCUUCGGGUUGUAAACCGCUGUCAGAGGGAAGGAAAUUUUGACCGAUCCUCAAAGGAAGUACGGGCUAGGUUCGUGCCAGCAGCCGCGGUAAGACGAACCGUACAAACGUUAUUCGGAAUCACUGGGCUUAAAGGGUGCGUAGGUGGUCUAUUAAGUUGGGUGUGAAAUCCCUCGGCUCAACCGAGGAACUGCGCUCAAUACUGGUAGACUUGAGGGAGAUAGAGGUGAGCGGAACUGAUGGUGGAGCGGUGAAAUGCGUUGAUAUCAUCGGGAACACCUGUGGCGAAAGCGGCUCACUGGAUCUCUUCUGACACUGAGGCACGAAAGCUAGGGGAGCGAACGGGAUUAGAUACCCCAGUAGUC